GACGAACGCUGGCGGCGUGCUUAACACAUGCAAGUCGAACGAAGUGGCGAACGGGUGAGUAAUACGUGGGUAACCUGCCCUCCUUUUUGGGAUAAGCCUUGGAAACGGGGUCUAAUACCGAAUAAAGGGGGAUGGGCUCGCGGCCUAUCAGCUUGUUGGGGGGGGGAUGGCCUACCAAGGCGGUGACGGGUAGCCGGCCUGAGAGGGUGACCGGCAACAUUGGGACUGAGAGACGGCUCAGACUCCUACGGGAGGCAGCAGUGGGGGAUAUUGCACAAUGGGCGAAAGCCUGAUGCAGCGACGCCGCGUGGGUGAUGAAGUCGUUCGGGUUGUAAACCGCGGUCGCUAUCGAACGGGUAGGUGAAGAAGAAGCGCCGGCUAACUACGUGCCAGCAGCCGCGGUAAUAC
rnacentral:rRNA from 1 species